rnacentral:rRNA from 1 species
CCUACGGGAGGCAGCAGUGGGGAAUUUUGGACAAUGGGCGCAAGCCUGAUCCAGCAAUGCCGCGUGCAGGAUGAAGGCCUUCGGGUUGUAAACUGCUUUUGUACGGAACGAAACGGUCCUUUCUAAUAUAAGGGGCUAAUGACGGUACAGUAAGAAUAAGCACCGGCUAACUACGUGCCAGCAGCCGCGGUAAUACGUAGGGUGCGAGCGUUAAUCGGAAUUACUGGGCGUAAAGCGUGCGCAGGCGGUUAUAUAAGACAGAUGUGAAAUCCCCGGGCUCAACCUGGGACCUGCAUUUGUGACUGUAUAGCUAGAGUACGGUAGAGGGGGAUGGAAUUCCGCGUGUAGCAGUGAAAUGCGUAGAUAUGCGGAGGAACACCGAUGGCGAAGGCAAUCCCCUGGACCUGUACUGACGCUCAUGCACGAAAGCGUGGGGAGCGAACAGGAUUAGAUACCCUGGUAGUCCACGCCCUAAACGAUGUCAACUGGUUGUUGGGUCUUCACUGACUCAGUAACGAAGCUAACGCGUGAAGUUGACCGCCUGGGGAGUAACGGCCGCAAGGUUGAAACUUCAAAUGAAUUUGACGGCUUGGNGAGNGCGAGACGACGACGAGGGAGGAGG